AGCAGCCGCGGUAAUUCCAGCUCCAAUAGCGUAUAUUAAAGUUGUUGCAGUUAAAAAGCUCGUAGUUGAAUUUCGGGGUUCUUCCGUUGGUCGGGCUAUCCAGUCUGUACUAGCGUGUAGAAUUCCUACCUUCUGGGGAACCAUCAUGUUAUUAAUUUAGCGUGGUGGGAAACCAGGACCUUUACCUUGAAAAAAUUAGAGUGUUCAAAGCAGGCUUACGUCUGAAUACAUUAGCAUGGAAUAAUAGAAUAGGACGGUGGUCCUGUUUUGUUGGUUUCUGAAUCACCGUAAUGAUUAAUAGGGAUAGUUGGGGGCAUUAGUAUUCAAUUGUCAGAGGUGAAAUUCUUGGAUUUAUUGAAGACUAACUUCUGCGAAAGCAUUUGCCAAGGAUGUUUUCAUUAAUCAAGAACGAAAGUUAGGGGAUCGAAGACGAUCAGAUACCGUCGUAGUCUUAACCAUAAACUAUGCCGACUAGGGAUCGGACGAUGUUAAAUUUAUUGACUCGUUCGGCGCCUUACGG
rnacentral:rRNA from 1 species